AUUGAACGCUGGCGGCAGGCUUAACACAUGCAAGUCGAGCGGAGAUGAGGUGCUUGCACCUUAUCUUAGCGGCGGACGGGUGAGUAAUGCUUAGGAAUCUGCCUAGUAGUGGGGGACAACAUUCCGAAAGGAAUGCUAAUACCGCAUACGUCCUACGGGAGAAAGCAGGGGAUCUUCGGACCUUGCGCUAAUAGAUGAGCCUAAGUCGGAUUAGCUAGUUGGUGGGGUAAAGGCCUACCAAGGCGACGAUCUGUAGCGGGUCUGAGAGGAUGAUACGCCACACUGGGACUGAGACACGGCCCAGACUCCUACGGGAGGCAGCAGUGGGGAAUAUUGGACAAUGGGGGGAACCCUGAUCCAGCCAUGCCGCGUGUGUGAAGAAGGCCUUAUAGUUGUAAAGCACUUUAAGCGAGGAGGAGGCUACUGAGACUAAUACUCUUGGAUAGUGGACGUUACUCGCAGAAUAAGCACCGGCUAACUCUGUGCCAGCCGCCGCAGUAAAAC
rnacentral:rRNA from 1 species